UAUAGUUUCCAUGUCAGUUGUUAAUUACCUGGAUAUCCAUGGUAAUUCUAGAGCUAAUACAUGCGUCCAAACCCGACUUUUUGGAAGGGUUGUGCUUAUUAGACACUGAACCAACCCGGGUUUCCCGGUUUCGAGUUGAUUGAUGGUAAUCGAACGAAUCGCAUGCUUCGGCGGCGAUGAUUCAUUCAAGUUUCUGACCUAUCAGCUUUCGACGGUAGGGUAUUGGCCUACCGUGGCAUUGACGGGUAACGGAGAAUUAGGGUUUGAUUCCGGAGAGGGAGCCUGAGAAACGGCUACCACA
rnacentral:rRNA from 1 species